rnacentral:rRNA from 1 species
UACGUAGGGUGCGAGCGUUGUCCGGAAUUAUUGGGCGUAAAGGGCUCGUAGGCGGUCUGUCACGUCGGGAGUGAAAACUCAGGGCUUAACCCUGAGCCUGCUUCCGAUACGGGGCAGACUAGAGGUAUGCAGGGGAGAACGGAAUUCCUGGUGUAGCGGUGAAAUGCGCAGAUAUCAGGAGGAACACCGGUGGCGAAGGCGGUUCUCUGGGCAUUACCUGACGCUGAGGAGCGAAAGUGUGGGGAGCGAACAGG